CUAAUUAAUUUUUCAUAAAUAGUAGAGUCUCAAUUUCAGUGGAACUCUCCCACAGAGUUCUAGUCCAAGUAGGACUCUUCACCAGAGACACAAUCCAAUUGGACUCUUUCAACCAUCAGAUCUGACCAAAUCUUCUAAUGCAUGUGACCCCACAGGUUAGAACCUAAGCUGGUAGCAUAGAAAUAACUUUCUAUACCAAUUGAUGUAACCAUCUAGCAAUGAUGACCCG
rnacentral:lncRNA from 1 species